AGUCGAGCGGAAACGAGUUAUCUGAACCUUCGGGGGACGAUAACGGCGUCGAGCGGCGGACGGGUGAGUAAUGCCUAGGAAAUUGCCCUGAUGUGGGGGAUAACCAUUGGAAACGAUGGCUAAUACCGCAUGAUGCCUACGGGCCAAAGAGGGGGACCUUCGGGCCUCUCGCGUCAGGAUAUGCCUAGGUGGGAUUAGCUAGUUGGUGAGGUAAGGGCUCACCAAGGCGACGAUCCCUAGCUGGUCUGAGAGGAUGAUCAGCCACACUGGAACUGAGACACGGUCCAGACUCCUACGGGAGGCAGCAGUGGGGAAUAUUGCACAAUGGGCGCAAGCCUGAUGCAGCCAUGCCGCGUGUGUGAAGAAGGCCUUCGGGUUGUAAAGCACUUUCAGUCGUGAGGAAGGUAGUGUAGUUAAUAGCUGCAUUAUUUGACGUUAGCGACAGAAGAAGCACCGGCUAACUCCGUGCCAGCAGCCGCGGUAAUACGGAGGGUGCGAGCGUUAAUCGGAAUUACUGGGCGUAAAGCGCAUGCAGGUGGUUUGUUAAGUCAGAUGUGAAAGCCCGGGGCUCAACCUCGGAAUUGCAUUUGAAACUGGCAGACUAGAGUACUGUAGAGGGGGGUAGAAUUUCAGGUGUAGCGGUGAAAUGCGUAGAGAUCUGAAGGAAUACCGGUGGCGAAGGCGGCCCCCUGGACAGAUACUGACACUCAGAUGCGAAAGCGUGGGGAGCAAACAGGAUUAGAUACCCUGGUAGUCCACGCCGUAAACGAUGUCUACUUGGAGGUUGUGGCCUUGAGCCGUGGCUUUCGGAGCUAACGCGUUAAGUAGACCGCCUGGGGAGUACGGUCGCAAGAUUAAAACUCAAAUGAAUUGACGGGGGCCCGCACAAGCGGUGGAGCAUGUGGUUUAAUUCGAUGCAACGCGAAGAACCUUACCUACUCUUGACAUCCAGAGAACUUUCCAGAGAUGGAUUGGUGCCUUCGGGAACUCUGAGACAGGUGCUGCAUGGCUGUCGUCAGCUCGUGUUGUGAAAUGUUGGGUUAAGUCCCGCAACGAGCGCAACCCUUAUCCUUGUUUGCCAGCGAGUAAUGUCGGGAACUCCAGGGAGACUGCCGGUGAUAAACCGGAGGAAGGUGGGGACGACGUCAAGUCAUCAUGGCCCUUACGAGUAGGGCUACACACGUGCUACAAUGGCGCAUACAGAGGGCAGCCAACUUGCGAAAGUGAGCGAAUCCCAAAAAGUGCGUCGUAGUCCGGAUUGGAGUCUGCAACUCGACUCCAUGAAGUCGGAAUCGCUAGUAAUCGUGGAUCAGAAUGCCACGGUGAAUACGUUCCCGGGCCUUGUACACACCGCCCGUCACACCAUGGGAGUGGGCUGCAAAAGAAGUAGGUAGU
rnacentral:rRNA from 1 species